rnacentral:rRNA from 1 species
AGUUUGAUUCUGGCUCAGAUUGAAUCACGCUGGCGGGCGUUUAACAUGCAAGUCGAACGGCAGCACGGACUUCGGUCUGGUGGCGAUGGGCGAACGGGUGAGUAAUGUAUCGGAACGUGCCUAGUAGCGGGGAUAACUACGCGAAAGGGGUAGCUAAUACCGCAUACAGCCCUUCGGGGGAAAGCGGGGACCUUCGAAUUUCGCACUAUUAGAGCGGCCGAUAUCGGAUUAGCUAGUUGGUGGGGUAACGGCUCACCAAGGCGACGAUCCGUAGCUGGUUUGAGAGGACGACCAGCCACACUGGGACUGAGAGAGCGCCCCAGACUCUACGGAGGCAGCAGUGGGAAUUUUGGACAAUGGGGAAACCCUGAUCCAGCCAUCCCGCGUGUGCGAUGAAGUGCCUUCGGGUUGUAAAGACCUUUGGCAGGGGAAAGAAACGGCACGGGAUAAUACCCCUCGUGCAACUGACGGUACCUGAAGAAUAAGCACCGGCUAACUACGUGCCAGCAGCCGCGGUAAUACGGGGUGCAAGCGUUAAUCGGAAUUACUGGGCGUAAAGCGUGCGCAGGCGGUUAUGUAAGUCAGAUGUGAAAACUCCCUGGCUCAACCUGGGAAUGGCAUUUGACUGCAUGGCUAGAGGUGUCAGAGGGGGGUAGAAUUCCACGUGUAGCAGUGAAAUGCGUAGAGAUGUGGAGGAAUACCGAUGGCGAAGGCAGCCUGGGAUAACACGGACGCUCAUGCACGAAAGCGUGGGGAGCAAACAGGAUUAGAUACCCUGGGUAGUCCACGCCCUAAACGAUGUCUACUAGUUGUCGGGACUUAAUUGUCUUGGUAACGCAGCUAACGCGUGAAGUAGACCGCCUGGGGAGUACGGUCGCAAGAUUAAACUCAAAGGAAUUGACGGGGACCCGCACAAGCGGUGGAUGAUGUGGAUUAAUUCGAUGCAACGCGAAAAACCUUACUCACCCUUGACAUGUACGGAACCUCUGAGAGAUUAGAGGGUGCUCGAAAGAGAGCCGUAACACAGGUGCUGCAUGGCUGUCGUCAGCUCGUGUCGGAGAUAAGUCCCGCAACGAGCGCAACCCUUGUCAUUAGUUGCUACGAAAGGGCACUCUAAUGAGGACUGCCGGUGACAAACCGGAGGAAGGUGGGGAUGACGUCAAGUCCUCAUGGCCCUUAUGGGUAGGGCUUCACACGUCAUACAAUGGUACAUACAGAGGGCCGCUAACCCGCGAGGGGAGCUAAUCCCAGAAAGUGUAUCGUGGUCCGGAUUGUAGUCUGCAACUCGACUACAUGAAGUUGGAAUCGCUAGUAAUCGCGGACCAGCAUGUCGCGGUGAAUACGUUCCUGGGUUCCCAGGCACACCGCCCGUCACACCAUGGGAGCGGGUUUCACCAGAAGUAGGUAGCCUAACCGCAAGGAGGGCGCUUACCACGGUGGGAUUCGUGACUGGGGUGAAGUCGUAAAUAAGGUAAUUC